rnacentral:rRNA from 1 species
GCUAGUUGUACGAGUUUAGACUCGUAGCAGAUAGCUCAGUAACACGUGGCCAAACUACCCUAUAGAUCCAGAUAACCUCGGGAAACUGAGGCUAAUCCGGAAUAGGGCUCUCAUCCUGGAGUGGAGAGAGCCUGAAACGCCCCGGCGCUAUAGGAUGUGGCUGCGGCCGAUUAGGUAGACGGUGGGGUAACGGCCCACCGUGCCAGUAAUCGGUACGGGUUGUGAGAGCAAGAGCCCGGAGACGGUAUCUGAGACAAGAUACCGGGCCCUACGGGGCGCAGCAGGCGCGAAACCUUUACACUGCACGCCAGUGCGAUAAGGGGACUCCAAGUGCGAGGGCAUAUAGUCCUCGCUUUUUGCGACCGUAAGGUGGUCGCGGAAUAAGUGCUGGGCAAGACCGGUGCCAGCCGCCGCGGUAAUACCGGCAGCACGAGUGAUGACCGCUGUUAUUGGGCCUAAAGCGUCCGUAGCUGGCCGCGCAAGUCUAUCGGGAAAUCUCUUCGCUUAACGGAGAGGCGUCCGG